rnacentral:sRNA from 1 species
UACUAUAUCUUUUUAUAUAAAGUACCGUUUUUAAUAUUAGUAACUCAUAGGAUUGUGCCAUGUGUCGAGUCUAUCAAUCAGAUGUUGACAUGUGUUAAAAUAGAUUAAACU